UUUGGAUAGCUCAAACGGUUAGAGCACAACGUCAACAACGUUGCGGUCGCGGGUUCGACUCCCGCUCCAAACCACCA
rnacentral:tRNA from 1 species